AGUGAACGCUGGCGGUAGGCCUAACACAUGCAAGUCGAACGGCAGCACAGGAUAGCUUGCUCUCUGGGUGGCGAGUGGCGGACGGGUGAGGAAUACAUCGGAAUCUACUCUGUCGUGGGGGAUAACGUAGGGAAACUUACGCUAAUGCCGCAUACGACCUACGGGUGAAAGCAGGGGAUCUUCGGACCUUGCGCGAUUGAAUGAGCCGAUGUCGGAUUAGCUAGUUGGCGGGGUAAAGGCCCACCAAGGCGACGAUCCGUAGCUGGUCUGAGAGGAUGACCAGCCACACUGGAACUGAGACACGGUCCAGACUCCUACGGGAGGCAGCAGUGGGGAAUAUUGGACAAUGGGCGCAAGCCUGAUCCAGCCAUACCGCGUGGGUGAAGAAGGCCUUCGGGUUGUAAAGCCCUUUUGUUGGGAAAGAAAUCCAGCUGGCUAAUACCCGGUUGGGAUGACGGUACCCGAAGAAUAAGCACCGGCUAACUUCGUGCCAGCCGCCGCAGUAA
rnacentral:rRNA from 1 species